rnacentral:rRNA from 1 species
GAUGAACGCUAGCGGCGUGCCUAACACAUGCAAGUCGAACGUGAGGAAGACUUCGGUCUUCUGAAAGUGGCGGACGGGUGAGUAAGACGUAGGUGACCUGCCUCGAAGUGGGGGAUAACCAUUGGAAACGAUGGCUAAUACCGCAUAAGCUGGUGACGAUGGGAAUCGUUAUCAGGAAAGCUUUCGUGCUUUGAGAGGGGCCUACGGCCGAUUAGCUAGUUGGUGAGGUAAAGGCUCACCAAGGCGAUGAUCGGUAGCUGGUCUGAGAGGACGAUCAGCCACACGGGAACUGAGACACGGUCCCGACUCCUACGGGGGGCAGCAGUGAGGAAUAUUCGGCAAUGGGGGCAACCCUGACCGAGCAACGCCGCGUGGAGGAUGACGGUUUUCGGAUUGUAAACUCCUUUUCUCAGGGAAGAGCGAGGACGGUACCUGAGGAAUAAGUCACGGCUAACUACGUG